rnacentral:tRNA from 1 species
GCCUGGAUGGCUCAGUUGGUUAGAGCGCAGGUCUCAUACUAUCGUAUGACCACUUCAAGUGGGUAAUCCUGAGGUCGUGAGUUCGAGCCUCACUCCGGGCA